GUUUUUGCACUGAAUGUAGCCAGGACGGAUCCCUGUGGGCUUUGGCAGCCCUUGGAAACUGUCAAAGGCAAUAUUUUGCAUUUCUGCGGCGUUUUGCACAGAUCCUGUUCCCAUGCAAACUGAUGAGGGAGAAAUACUGGAGGAAGGCAGUCCCAAGCUGCCUUUGAUGGGAUCUGUGAGAGCUGUUUCGGGGCGAUGCUUUGAAGCAGUUUCUUCACGUGAGUUGUUCAUGCUGAGGAUGUUCUGGCUCUUCAUGCAACGGCCUAGAAA